GACGAACGCUGGCGGCGUGCCUAACACAUGCAAGUCGAACGGAGAUAUGAUUUCGGUUGUAUCUUAGUGGCGAACGGUGAGUAACGCGUGAACAACCUGACUCUAAGAGGGGGAUAACACUCGGAAACGAGUGCUAAUACCGCAUAAGACCACGACCUGGCAUCAGGAUGAGGUCAAAAGGAGCAAUCCGCUGAGAGAGGGGUUCGCGUCCCAUUAGAUAGAUGGCGGGGUAACGGCCCACCAUGUCAACGAUGGGUAGCCGAGCUGAGAGGCUGAUCGGCCACACUGGAACUGAGACACGGUCCAGACUCCUACGGGAGGCAGCAGUGGGGAAUAUUGGGCAAUGGGCGCAAGCCUGACCCAGCAACGCCGCGUGAGGGAAGAAGGCUUUCGGGUUGUAAACCUCUGUCCUUGGUGACGAAACAAAUGACGGUAGCCAAGGAGGAAGCCCCGGCUAACUACGUGCCAGCAGCCGCGGUAAU
rnacentral:rRNA from 1 species